UCCUACGGGGCGCAGCAGUGGGGAAUAUUGGGCAAUGGGCGAAAGCCUGACCCAGCAACGCCGCGUGAAGGAAGAAGGCUUUCGGGUUGUAAACUUCUUUUGACAGGGAAGAGCAGAAGACGGUACCUGUCGAAUAAGCCACGGCUAACUACGUGCCAGCAGCCGCGGUAAUACGUAGGUGGCAAGCGUUGUCCGGAUUUACUGGGUGUAAAGGGCGUGUAGCCGGGCUGACAAGUCAGAUGUG
rnacentral:rRNA from 1 species